AUUGAACGCUGGUGGCAUGCUUAACACAUGCAAGUCGAACGGUAACAGGUCUUCGGAUGCUGACGAGUGGCGGACGGGUGAGUAACGCGUAGGAAUCUGCCCAUUUGAGGGGGAUACCAGUUGGAAACGACUGUUAAUACCGCAUAAUAUCUGUGGAUUAAAGGUGGCUUAGGCUGCCGCAGAUGGAUGAGCCUGCGUUGGAUUAGCUAGUUGGUGGGGUAAGGGCCUACCAAGGCUACGAUCCAUAGCUGAUUUGAGAGGAUGAUCAGCCACAUUGGGACUGAGACACGGCCCAAACUCCUACGGGAGGCAGCAGUGGGGAAUAUUGGACAAUGGGGGAAACCCUGAUCCAGCAAUGCCAUGUGUGUGAAGAAGGCUCUAGGGUUGUAAAGCACUUUAGUUGGGGAGGAAAGCCUAUGAGUUAAUAGCUUGUAGGAAGGACGUUACCCAAAGAAUAAGGACCGGCUAACUCCGUGCCAGCAA
rnacentral:rRNA from 1 species